rnacentral:rRNA from 1 species
AGAGUUUGAUCCUGGCUCAGGAUGAACGCUGGCGGCGUGCCUAACACAUGCAAGUCGAACGAAGCUUGACGGAUGAUUUCUUCGGAAUGAAACCAGAUAUGACUUAGUGGCGGACGGGUGAGUAACACGUGAGCAACCUGCCUUUUCAGAGGGGGAUAACGGCUGGAAACGGUCGCUAAUACCGCAUGAUGUGUUCGGAUGGCAUCAUCUGAACAUCAAAGAUUUUAUCGCUGAAAAG